AGUGAACGCUGGCGGUAGGCCUAACACAUGCAAGUCGAACGGCAGCACAGUAAGAGCUUGCUCUUACGGGUGGCGAGUGGCGUACGGGUGAGGAAUACAUCCUAAUCUACUUUUUCGUGUGGCUUCACGUAGGGAAACUUACUCUAAUACCGCAUCCGACCUACGGUUGAAAGCAGGGGAUCUUCUGACCUUGCGCGAUUGAAUGAGCCGAUGUCGGAUUAGCUAGUUGGCGGGGUAAAGGCCCACCAAGGCGACGAUCCGUAGCUGGUCUGAGAGGAUGAUCAGCCACACUGGAACGGAGACACGGUCCAGACGCCUAAGGGAGGCAGCAGUGGGGAAUAUUGGACAAUGGGCGCAAGCCUGAUCCAGCCAUACCGAGUGGGUGAAGAAGGCCUUCGGGUUGUAAAGCCCUUUUGUUGGGAAAGAAAAGCAGCAGGUUAAUACCCCGCUGUUCUGACGGUGCCCAAAGAAUAAGCACCGGCUAACUUCGUG
rnacentral:rRNA from 1 species